AUGGGUGCCCAAGGCUCAUUGAUGCACAGGGGAGCAAAGGCUCUGGUCUGACCACAAACAAGAGUUACUGUAGCUCAAAUUGCUGAAAAAUUUAAUGCCUGCCAUGAUAGAAAGGUGUCAGAAAACACAGUGCAUCACAGUUUCCUGUGUAUAAUGCUGCAUAGCCGCAGACCAGUCAGAGUGCUUAUGAUGACCCCUGUCCAUCACUGAAAGUGCCUUCAAUGGGUAAAUGGGUAUCAGAACUGGACAAUAGAGCAAUGGAAGAAAGUUGUCUGGUC